GGGGGCCCGCACAGGCGGCGGAGCAUGCGGAUUAACUCGAUGCAACGCGAAGAACCUUACCAAGGCUUGACAUGGGCCGGACCGGGCUGGAAACAGUCCUUCCCCUUUGGGGCCGGUUCACAGGUGGUGCAUGGUUGUCGUCAGCUCGUGUCGUGAGGUGUUGGGUUAAGUCCCGCAACGAGCGCAACCCUCGUUCUAUGUUGCCAGCGCGUGAUGGCGGGGACUCAUGGGAGACUGCCGGGGUCAACUCGGAGGAAGGUGGGGACGACGUCAAAUCAUCAUGCCCCUUAUGUCUUGGGCUUCACGCAUGCUACAAUGGCCGGUACAAAGGGUUGCGAUACUGUGAGGUGGAGCUAAUCCCAAAAAGCCGGUCUCAGUUCGGAUUGGGGUCUGCAACUCGACCCCAUGAAGUCGGAGUCGCUAGUAAUCGCAGAUCAGCAACGCUGCGGUGAAUACGUUCCCGGGCCUUGUACACACCGCCCGUCAAGUCACGAAAGUUGGUAACACCCGAAGCCGGUGGCCUAACCCCUUGUGGGAGGGAGCCGUCGAAGGUGGGACCGGCGAUUGGGACUAAG
rnacentral:rRNA from 1 species